rnacentral:rRNA from 1 species
AGUGAACGCUGGCGGUAGGCCUAACACAUGCAAGUCGAACGGCAGCACAGGAGAGCUUGCUCUCUGGGUGGCGAGUGGCGGACGGGUGAGGAAUACAUCUGAAUCUACUUUUUCGUGGGGGAUAACGUAGGGAAACUUACGCUACUACCGCAUACGACCUACGGGUGAAAGCAGGGGAUCUUCGGACCUUGCGCGAUUGAAUGAGCCGAAGUCGGAUUAGCUAGUUGGCGGGGUAAAGGCCCACCAAGGCGACGAUCCGUAGCUGGUCUGAGAGGAUGAUCAGCCACACUGGAACUGAGACACGGUACAGACUCCUACGGGAGGCAGCAGUGGGGAAUAUUGGACAAUGGGCGCAAGCCUGAUCCAGCCAUACCGCGUGGGUGAAGAAGGCCUUCGGGUUGUAAAGCCCUUUUGUUGGGAAAGAAAUCCAGCUGGUUAAUACCCGGUUGGGAUGACGGUACCCAAAGAAUAAGCACCGGCUAACUUCGUGCCAGCCGCCGCAGUAA